rnacentral:misc_RNA from 1 species
UUCAAUUCAAUUCAAUUCUCAUAUUUCACAUUAACAAUGAGGAAUUCUGAAUCUUGUCAACAGAUAAAUACAUGCAAUGGUUUCUAUUGCGAUUACUUCUCUCCAAACAAACCUAACAAACCAACGAUGUGGACUGAGGCUUGGACUGGCUGGUUUUCAGAUUUUGCAGGUCCAAACCACCAGCGUCCGGUCGAGGAUUUAGCAUUCGCAGUUGCUCGAUUCCUUCAGAAAGGAGGUUCCUUUGUUAAUUACUAUAUGGUUAGUCUACUCCUGCUUCAUUUCUUUUGUUUGUUACAAGAAGAAAUUGCUUUAUCAAAGCAAAAGCAAUUCCUUGAAUUCCAAGGAAGUAUCUCAACUUUGCAUCUGAUAAAGGCAUAAGCUUCCAAUGAAAUAAAGGAGCAUAUUUUCAUUCUAUAAGGAGAGACUUCUGCAUUAUGAUUUCAUUCUUGUUGUUUGCUGCAGUAUCAUGGAGGAACCAACUUUGGCAGAACUUCUGGAGGACCUUUCAUUACUACAAGCUAUGACUGUGAUGCACCCAUUGAUGAAUACGGUGACAAAAUUCGAUCCCCAUUUUUCGAAAUUUAAUCAAUUAGUCCAUCUGUUGGAAUUCAAACUCAUAGCAUUUACAGGGUUGAUUAGGCAACCUAAAUAUGGCCAUUUAAAGGAUCUUCACAAGGCUAUUAAGUCAUGCGAAAAAGCUUUGCUCAAUGCCGAUCCUACUGUCGAAAACUUGGGAGCUUAUAAACAGGUCUGUUCUAAUCUACCAAAGGAAAACCAGCAACUGCAAAUGAGAGUUGCUUUAAGCUUAUUUUAGCAAACCAGAAUGAUUCAAUGAGGAAAAUUUUGCAGGCACAUGUAUUCUCUUCCAAUUCUGGAGAUUGUGCAGCUUUUCUUGUAAACUACCAUCCAAAUGGUACUGGAAAGUUGACAUUUAAUAACAUGCAUUAUAGCCUGCCACCUUGGUCUAUCAGCAUCCUU